UACAGAGGGUGCAAGCGUUGCUCGGAAUCAUUGGUCGUAAAGGGCAAGUAGGUGGUCUCAUUUGUCUUGUGUGAAAUCCUUGGGCUUAACUCAAGAAGUGCGCAAGAAACGGUGAGACUCGAGUUCUGGAGAGGGUCGUGGAAUUCCCGGUGUAGCGGUGAAAUGCGUAGAGAUCGGGAGGAACACCAGAGGCGAAGGCGGCGACCUGGACAGAUACUGACACUCAACUGCGAAAGCGUGGGGAGCAAACAGG
rnacentral:rRNA from 1 species